CGGACUUUGCUGGCAUCUCGCUCUUCACUGCUCUUUGGUAACAAUUAAACAAACUUUCAACAACGGAUCUCUUGGUUCUGGCAUCGAUGAAGAACGCAGCGAAAUGCGAUAAGUAAUGUGAAUUGCAGAAUUCAGUGAAUCAUCGAAUCUUUGAACGCACAUUGCGCCCUUUGGUAUUCCGAAGGGCAUGCCUGUUCGAGCGUCAUUUCACCACUCAAGCCUGGCUUGGUAUUGGGCGUCGCGGUUAUUCGCGCGCCUUAAAGUCUUCCGGCUGAGCUGUCCGUCUCUAAGCGUUGUGGAUUUUUCAAUUCGCUUCGGAGUGCGGGCGGCCGCGGCCGUUAAAUCUUUAUUCAAAGG
rnacentral:sRNA from 1 species